GUCGACGGAGAUAAAUUCACUGCAAAUUGAUAAUGUUGUGGAACCAUUUGCAUAUAGAUUUUAAUGAUGUUUUCCUUUUGAUAAUGAAUAACCUAAUUCAUCUUGAAAUAG